GCUUUACUGUAGCUUGGAAUUGGACUCGGGCUUAUUUUGCGCAGUAUAGGUGGGAGGCUAAGAUUAUGUACUURCGGGUUCAUAGGAGCCAACAGUGAGAUACCACUCUAAAUAAGCUAGAAUUCUAACCUUGAAAGCCGUUAUCCGGCCAAGGAACAGUUUCAGGUGGGCAGUUUGACUGGGGCGGUCGCCUCCUAAAAGGUAACGGAGGCGUGCAAAGGUUCCCUCAGGCUGGUCGGAAAUCAGUCGUAGAGUGUAAAGGCAUAAGGGAGCUUGACUGCGAGACCUACAAGUCGAGCAGAGACGAAAGUCGGCCUUAGUGAUCCGACAGUACCGAGUGGAAGGGCUGUCGCUCAACGGAUAAAAGUUAC
rnacentral:rRNA from 1 species